UACAGAGGUCUCAAGCGUUGUUCGGAUUCAUUGGGCGUAAAGGGUGCGUAGGCGGCGCGGUAAGUCGGGUGUGAAAUCUUGGAGCUUAACUCCGAAACUGCGUUCGAUACUGCCGUGCUUGAGGACUGGAGAGGAGACUGGAAUUUACGGUGUAGCGGUGAAAUGCGUAGAUAUCGUAAGGAAGACCAGUGGCGAAGGCGGGUCUCUGGACAGUUCCUGACGCUGAAGCACGAAGGCCAGGGGAGCAAACGGG
rnacentral:rRNA from 1 species